UCCUCAAUGUACGACUACCAUUCAAGACGGGAGCUUAUGUUACUAAGCGAGGACAUUCUGAUUCACACUGAUUUUUCAAGAUAUAUAUAUAUAUAUUUUGCCAGGAAACACUGCAGUUGUUGACCGAGUCGCACGGUCGUUAAGCGAAUCUGACUUUCCCCUUCCUAUUUUGCUUGUCGGAAGUCACAAAUGGCCAUCAGGUGAUCUUGGAGGCAACCCUCGUAGACAAGGACCCCAAAUUUUGAUCUGGGAUCCGGCAAUGGUCAUAAGCCUGAGGACUGGUGGUUAAGUCGCUCCCCCGCUCUCCCCCGCGGUGGUGUAACUCUGCUCGCUAAACGAAUGGCUGUAAAUUGAGGACUACCAGCAGAUCCGGUUUCUUAGCAUGGGAUAGUACAAGAUUUUCUUACGCAAGGGAGCUGGCUGGAUUCCCCGCCAGGGUGAUCUUUCGUGGAUCUUUUUUUUAAAGGCCAAAUCCAGACCUGCCUCUCUGCCAAGCAAGCACACACAGCUGAGCUGGGCUCACCGACAGAAACCACUGUAAGGGUGUUGCAGGCACAAGGGUGUGGAGAUUUGGCACAACCGACAACAGAGGAAAAAAAUCCCUGAAAUGAACCGAAUUUGCUGAGAUGGCUUAAAUGGUCUUCUUUGAUAAGACAAUGAUUGGCCUUGAUAAGCUGACUGCCAACGCCUUAAAGGCUUUCCAUAAAACAGGAGAAAGAAAAUCAACUUACGAUUUAUGGUUCUAAUUAAACAGGAUUGAUUAUGGCAAGGAGGGAGGCUGUGUCGUGUGAAGUAAAGCAGCCUCCGGACAUGUCGUGGCCCCGUGGCUCCUGGGUAUGGACCUCACCAUUCGCGAUAGGCCCCCACGGUGAUGUCAAACAGGGGGCUGCUGGCGAUGGAUCCCUGCUUGUCCAGCAAGAA